rnacentral:tRNA from 1 species
GAGAAAACUCGCAAGGACUGCUAACCCAUGCCCCCAUACUUAACACUAUGGUUUUCUCA